AAGUCGUAACAAGGUUUCCGUAGGUGAACCUGCGGAAGGAUCAUUAACACGUAUCCAACGUUAAACAACCCUGUGAACCUUGAACGUGCUCCUGCAGCCCCAUGAAAUCAGCAAUCCCUGGUAAAUCAUUGUUGCCGAAACGGCUGUUCAGUACCGAGCGCAGUGUAAGCGACCUGCCUAAGCGAUCAGUGUCUGAAAGUGUCAUUGAUUGUGUAAGGAUGGCGCCGGGCCCAGGGCUCACGCCCCUUUCAGUUUCCGACUGCAGCCGAUAAUACGGACGCCGUAAAAAACUGAACAACUGUUAACAAUGUAUCUUGGUUCUC
rnacentral:misc_RNA from 1 species